CCCCUCUGAUAUUUUGCAAAGGCUGAACCAGAGAGUGAGAUCGAGAGAGAGUUGGGCUGAGAGAGCCUAGCCGAAGCAUCGCGCGCGAGAGAGAGAGCUCGUGGGAGAGAGGGAGAGAGAGAGAGAGAACCGAUGGCCAAUCGGCCAUGGCAGAAGCUGCCAUAGCCAGCGAAUAAGAGAAGCAGCAGCAGCGGGCGAAGCUUCAAUGGCUGGCCAUGGAGCUGGUCGAGGCGGCUGAUGGCAAACGAGGCGUGCGACGGCUGAUGCAACGCGUGAGGCGGUGCUCGGAUAUGGUUGAAGCAUUGGCAAUGGCGGCUGCAAGCUUCAAGGGACGGCCAUGGCAGCUCACGGGUGCGGCUGCUGCGUGCGGGAGGCUGGGUCCUGGUGCGUUGCCUUGAGGCACCGGUGGCCGGUGGUCGCCGGGAGUCCAGAAGCGGCCGACGGAGGCAAGCAAACCGGCGGCAACAUGCGCGGCCAGCAGCUAUGCGUGGUGAAGAAGAAAGGAAGGUGCCGCGCGGGAAGGAAGAAACAUGGGAAGAAGAAGAAGGCGCUGGAGAAGAAGGAGAAAAGAAAUAGAAGAAAAAAUGGAAAAGAAAAGAAAAAUAAAAGAAAAGAAAUAAAAAUAAAAUAUGGAAAAUUGGGAAAAAUAGCUGAAAAAUUCCAGAAAAAUGAGGGAAAGUUCUGGAAAUUAGUUUGGGGCUUGAAGAGCUUGUUGGAAGCUCAAAAAUGGAAUUUUGGCCCGAGCGGCAGCUCGGGAGACAACGUCGGCGUGGGCGUUUCCGAAUUUCUCCCCAAAUGAGUCAAGGUUCGUCCAGGGAGGCGAUGAUCCUAGAAGAGCUCGAAGUUCGGAUUGGAGUUCGUGCCGAGACAGAGAGGAGGCUUCAAGCCAGAUGGAUGUUCAGAAGAAGAAGCAGACAUUUAUUUAUGUCCAUGCUAGCCGGGUACCACCGCCCGGUAUGCAAACAACUACUUACUGUUGCAUCAAUAAUCUUUUUGUAGUUUGUGAGUCCUUUGUGAAGUAUAGUGUGUUGGAGGAUUUCGUUCGAGGCCCACUAGGACAUUUCAUGCAGAUCCCCCACUCAUCCCAGGUUACUACACCACAAUUGAUUCUUCAGGUGCUUCUGAGAGAGGUGAAAUUUCCCAGUGCCCACCCCGAUGAGAUGUGGUUCGAGAUGGGCAGUGUGGCAUGUCGAUAUGGGAAGCAGGAGUUCACCCUAAUGACUGGACUUAGAUUUGGCCCAAUUGAUGGGGAAAUCUUACAAGCGAGGCCUGCCAAGGAUGGUGGCUUACGGGCACAUUUAUUCCCACAUAAAGAGGUUGUUUAUGUGGAAGACAUAAAGGAACUACUUGAUACGAAGCCUAACCUGGAUAAAGAUGAUGCCCUGAAGAAUGGGAUACCUUGCCAGGGUCAACAUGCUAUUAAUGGGCCAUGACGAGCGGCUAAGUGCAGAAGAUUUCCAUUGGAGCUUAGUGGAGGAUUUAGAAUCAUUUAGGUUGUUCCCUUUGGGAACAUACGUAUAUAAUCAGGGACUACAUUACUUUCAUCUAGCUAUCACCUGGUGGAAGUUGAAUGCUCAGGUUGGGAAGAAAGUCAACCUCUAUGGAUUUGUUUGGGCGUUUCAGGUACAAUCCUAACUUGAUUUGUAUAUACAAACAUUUUUUUUGUUUAGUUGAAUUUUUUUUAUUAUAAUUCUUUCACAUUUUACAGUAGUGGUGGAUCGACACAACCCCAUGGGUGGUGAGUAUGUGGGCUGUACCAAUAAAAGGCACAGUCAAGAUCCCUAGAUGCAUAAAGUGGUUAUCAAAAAAGGGGCCCAAACAAAUAAGUUACGAUGAAUGUCUUUCCAUAUUGGUAAGUGGUUGACAUAAAUUUCGAUGAAUGUCUCUCUGUCUAUCUAUUUUUUUAUUUUUUUUUGUUUACAGAAAUAGUUGUGUAAAUAUUUCAAUAUUAUAGUCACUUAAACCGGGUUCGACGAUCGAGCCAACAGAUGUAAAGCGGGACACUGAUUUUUGGAGGUCUUUUAACCCUCUGCGAUUGGUUGGACCUAACGUCUUCAAGCAUGGGGGUGGGGGAGAGGAUGUGGUGGAGACUGGUGGUGUUAGGGAGGGUGGGAUUGAGGAGGAGCAUGAUGGAUGCAGCAAGGGAUUUAAGGUUGAGAAGGAGGCUGAUGGAUGUAGGAAGGGAUUUAAGGUUGAUGAUGAGGCUGAUGGAUGCAGGGAAGGAUUUAAGGAUGAGAAAGAGGAGGCUGAUGGGAUGGAGAGCAGGGAGGGAGCAGACAAGGAGGAUGAGGAAGAGUCCAUCAGUAGGGGACUCCUUUCCAGCACGCAACCUAUCCAGAACAAGCCUAUGUUAUGAUUAUUAUCAUAAUGUUUCUCUUAUACGCAUACAAUUCGUUUGUUUGUAAUUAUUUUUGGUUUCGACUUUUAACCUCGUAUAGGUGACUGAGAUGCUCAUUAAGGUGCUACAAUUGUUGAGGAGUUUGGAUGCAUGGGUGGGCUAAUUGGAUAUACAGGUGGACUGUUUGGACACACGGGUUAGUCAAUUGGACAAACAGGUAGGCCAAUUGGAUUCACGGGUGGGCUGGUUGGAGACACGGGUGGGCCAAUUCGACACACAUUUGGAGCGAUUGGAGACGAUGGUUGAAUCAGUGUUAACUAUUCUAUGCGCCCUGGUUAGUCCAACUUUUCGGCAACACGUCGAUCAUGAUGACAAUCAAUAUCAAGACGGUUAUGAUUAGCCAAUUGGUGGAGAUCAGCUCCAACAUGUUCAUGUCAAUGAGGACCAGACACCUCCUUUUGUUAUAAGAUACAAAUUAACUUGUAUAUGUUAAAACCAUAUUGUAACGAUUAAUUUCUGUUGAGUUGUAGGAGUAGCCAGAUGGUGGUGAUCACACCCAGCCUAAUCGUAUGCAUGGGCAGGACAAUCCAUGUAAUGUAAGUCAUAAGAUGCAAUUAACUUUGAUACACUUGCAUAUGAUUACUGUGAAUUUUUUGUUUAGAUGCAGGAGAAGCUAGAUGCUGGUGACAACAUCCUACAAGCUCAUGAUCAUGAGGUGAACCAAACAUCUCCUUCUAUCGAGGAAGUGGACGAACGAACAGUACAAAAGCGGAAUCCAUCCAAAUUUUGUCGAACACCAUUCACCGAUCCCAUUCAACAGAAGAAGAGAAAGACAAAUGCAGUGGCGAGGGAGACAGAUCAUGGUAAAAAUUUGAUCGCCCAUGAAGCAGCCAAGCAACACCUUAGGGCUGAGGGAGAGGAUGACAUUGGUCUUAUACCCCAAUCGGGAUACAUCCAAUACGUAGGCUCAAAAGAUGAGAUCUAGCGUACCAUUGGGCACAUAUACCACAUUGUGCCAAGUAUGCUCCACCAGAUAGAGGAAGAGACGACUUAGUUGGAAGGGAAACACAUUGACAACUACUUGUGUUGCAUCAGACAGAUUAGAGAUACGCAGUCACCGCCUGGUUCUAUAUAUGAUGAAAACUACGUCGUUGUGUCGUCAUCGCUUUUCAUUAGUGUUGAACUCAAAUUAUAUUACUGUUUUUCCUUUUUUGUUAUUCGUUAGUAAAGUUAAACUUUUUUUUUUCU